AACGAACGCUGGCGGCGUGUUUAAGACAUGCAAGUCGCACGGUGUCAUUUUGGUAGCAAUACUUGGAUGGCACAGUGGCGCACGGGUGAGUAACGCGUGAAUUACAUGCCCUGUAGAGGGGGAUAGCCCAGGGAAACUUGGAUUAAUACCCCAUGGUCUCGCAAGAGUAAAGGUGGCCGCAAGGCUGUCGCUACAGGAUUGGUUCGCGCCCUAUCAGCUUGUUGGCGGGGUAACGGCCCACCAAGGCUACGACGGGUACCUGGUCUGAGAGGACGAUCAGGCACAAUGGAACUGAGACACGGUCCAGACACCUACGGGUGGCAGCAGUCGAGAAUAAUUCACAAUGGGGGCAACCCUGAUGGUGCAACGCCGCGUGGAGGAUGACGGUCUUCGGAUUGUAAACUCCUGUCAUCCGGGAGUAAGACCUGGGCAUGAAUAGUGCACAGGGUUGAUAGUACCGGAAGAGGAAGGGACGGCUAACUUCGUGCCAGCCGCCGCAGUAAAAC
rnacentral:rRNA from 1 species